AAUCAUCCUCCUAUCAUUACAAUGUAAUUUGUUUUUUUCUGUUACAACAAAAACCCCUUCGUCGACGGUGCCCUAUUUAUUUUGCAAAAAAUAAAAUAAGUACGGUAUCCCGAACAAAAAUGCCAACGCAGUUCUAGUAAUCUAUCUUCUAUAUAUAUAAAAAUCAUUUGUUGUUCGUUUGUAAUGGAAUCAGUUGGGAAAGGACGGACCGAUUUGCAUUAUUUUUUUUUUUUUGUACAAAGGUUCGUCAUACCCCGAAUUAGGUUUUUAAAGAAAAAAAUAUUGGCCUUGCCUACUUUUAUGAGCACUAUUUCGAUUUAUCUAAAAUGCUUAUAUUUGCCAGAAUAAUGAAGAUGUCGGUUUGAAAAUUAUUACACAAGGUACUGUAGACUUCCCAUCCAACCCUAAGUACAAUUUAUUUGGGGCAGAGGAACUGACCACGACUACUUUUUAAUAUAUAUAUCAAUUGUUGUUCGUUGGUAAUCGAAUAAGCUAAGAACGGCUGGAAGGAUUUUGGUUUUUAUGCAAAGAAAAAAUGAUGACGUCUACUUUUACGCCCAUUUUUUGGAUUCACCUAAAAUCCUAAUAUUUGUCAAAAUAAUGAAGAUAUUCGUUCCAUAUAUAUAUGGAAGUAGUAGUAUAUGAAGUAGUAUAUGACCUACUCUUGACUCUCCCUCCAAGCCUAGGUAUCUGUUUGGGGUCAGAGGAACUAGCCACACAUACUUCUUUAAAUUUAUAUGUAUAAAAUUUAAAAAAAAAAAUAGUAACACGUAUGUUGAGAACUGUUUGGUCGAAUUGACUCAAAUUUUCUUUUGGUUUUUUGUAAUUAUAGUGGAAACGUUUUCAUGAAUGAAAAAUUUGAGAAAAGCCUAUAGAAAAGCGCGGAAGUGAAAAAAUUGGAUUUUCUAUUUUGAUAAGGAAUUUUGUAUAGCAUUGUUUCAGAAUGCCUUUUGGAAUUGAAAAUCGUUUUUGCAAAAAAGGAGAAAUUUUGCAUAUAUUCUAUACAAUUUUGAUUUCAAAAUACUUCUCAAAGCAUCAAAACAUUUAAAACCCCAAUGUACUUUCAAAUUGGGGCUAUGCAUAUUGGGAAACAAUAGAAAAUUAAAUAGUAAACAGUUAUUGCCGGUAUUGCUUUCACAAUACUGAGAACUUUAAAUGUCAAAUUACAGUUAAGUCGGUAGAAAUUAUAACAAAACCAUACAAAAGGAUGAAUGUUUAGCGGCAUUAUUAUGCCGAAACGAAACGUAUAUCUUCUAACUUCCUAGGAAUAUUGUAUAAAUGAUCAAAAAUUAACCUAAAUAUUUCGCUUUUAUUGCGAUUUUAACGAACGGCCACAUACACAGACGGAUAUAGAUUAACUGACAUAGGAUUUUGCACAAAAUCGGCAGGUUAUAUGGGAAAUCAGUAUUAAAGGACUACACUUAAGUGUACUUAAAUCAUAAAAUGCCACAUUGGAGCACAUUUAGUCGACGAAUAUAAGGAGAUAAUAUUAUAUGAGGGCUAUAUCUAAAUGAGAACAAAUAUAUACCGUCUGUAACAUCAAUAAUCCUAAGAAUAAUAUUUGCUAAGUCUGAAAGGCACAUAUUAAAUUUGGUGAGCUCUAUCGUAAUAGCGGAUGGAGUACUGAGAGGAUCACGUGCAUAAUUUAAUCGACAAAGAUUUGUACUCUUUAACAUACAUUAUAGAAUCAAUAACUUUUAUAAACCGAUGACACCUUAUUUAAGAUAGUUAAAUUCAAUUUAGAAAUUAUUAUCGAUUCUGACGACGAAAACUCCAACAAAUUGAAAACAUAUAUACAUGCGUAUAUGCAACAUGUCCUUCAUUCACCAUAAAUAUGUAUUGUGCACUCUAAAUAAAUAAGUUGAAACGAAUACAACAAUAAACCACAAAACAAGGAAAACAGAAAUAAGCAUGAACACCGCCAAAUUUGUAGAUUGACGAUAAUUGCAAGCCAACAUUGUUUAUUAAAGUUUAGGCUUUUUUAAAGAGAAAAGCUAACCAUUUACAACUUAUAUUAGGUUCUUAAAAAUAUGCAUUACACGCUAAUACAAUGAGCCAGCAGUCCGGGUUUGCUGGUUCACCAUAAAUAGGUGUGUCUGGUUACCCUAAAGUUUGUAACAAUUGUUACAAAUUGUUACUGGAAGUCGUUUGUUAACCCGAAAGUUCUGCAAAAGAGAGCGGUUUAAGAGAGAAAUUUUGACAGUUCUUUCAGUGAGAGUUUGCAAAUUCUUGCUGGACAAAUUUCUUCUUGCAAUCUCUUGCAACUCUUCUUCUUCUCAUUCAUCGACAUUCAAUCAGAUGUUUUCUAUUGUUUAUUUACUUCUUUUUGUGAUGUUAAUUUGAAAAUAUUGUUUUGGAAUUAGCAAGGCUAAUUGUUUUUGGAAAACAACUUUACAAAUUUGAAAAACAUAAAUAUUAAUAUGUAAUAAGAAAGUAAAAGAUUAUUUACAACAUAUUUAGACAAAUGCCAUUAGUAACAGGUUUAAAGGAUUCCGCGGAACAGAUCAAAUCUAUCUUCCUUUUAUUGUCAAUUUCCUUUUUAUUUAUAAAACUUGUGAAAUUGGUGGUUGUUCCUUUCAUUUAAUCCUUUUAAUGGGGGACAAUUUGGUUUGAUUUGACAAAUCAGCUGAUUAGUUGCAAGCUUCUGCAGUAAUACCAUCUGUUUACUUUUCGCAAUUUCCUUGCAAAAGAGAAUAAAACUACCUUACUCUCUCAGAAAGAUGUUGCUGGACAAUUCCUGCAGGAAAAGUAACCAAACACACCUAAUAUGUAUUGUGCAUUCUAAAUAAAUAAGUUGAAACGAAAACAACAAUAAACCACAAAACAAGAAAAACAGCAAUAAGCAUGAACACCGCCAAAUUUGUAGAUUGACGAUACUUGCAAGCCAACUUUGUUUAGGUUUUUAAAGAGAGAAGCUAACCAUUUAAAAAUAUACAUUACACGCUAAUACUAUGGGCCAGCAACGCGCUCGUUCCGCGUUGCCGGCCCGUAGUUUUAGUCUUUAAUGCAUAGUUUUUAAAGCAUAAUAAUUCACAGAUCUGGCUUACAUAAUUGACACAAUUUUUAUACCCUCCACCAUACAUGGAGGGUAUAUUAAGUUCGUCAUUCCGUUUGUAACUCAUCGAAAUAAUCAUUUUAGACCAAACAAAGUAUAUAUAUUCUUGAUCAGCGUAAAAUUCUAAGACGAUUUAGCUUUGUCCGCCCGUCUGUCCGUCCGUCCGUCUGUUGUAAUCACGCUACAGGCUAAACGAAUUAAGAUAGAAAGCUAAAAUUUUGCCCAGAUCUCUCUUUUGUCUGCAAGCAGGUCAAGUUCGAAGAUGGUCCAUGUCGGUCCACGAUAUCGUAUAGCGCCCAUAUAACGGUACCCCCGAUAUCCGGUAUUUUGAUGAUUGUAGCCACAUUUUACAAUGGAAUUGUAGAAAAAUUCACACAAGGAGUUCUUUUUGUGUACUUUAUCCCUUGGCUGAGAAUUAUCUAUAUAGGUCCACGAUAUCGUAUAGCCCCCAUAUAACGGUACCCCCGAUAUUCUGUAUUCUGAUGAUUUUAGUCACAUUUUCUAAUAAAAUAGUCUGAAAAUCCACACGUUGAGAUCUUUGUGGGAACUUCACCCCCUGAAAGAGAAUUGUCUAUAUAGGUCCACGAUAUCGUAUAUCCCCCAUAUAACGGUGCCCCCCGAUAUUCGGUAUUUUGAUGAUUUUUGCCACAUUUUUAAACGGAAUUGCCUUAAAUUCUAUACAAGGAGUUAUUUGUGAGUAUUUUAUCCCUAGACAUAAUUUUGUCUAUAUAGGUCCACUAUAUCGUUUAUCCCCCAUAUAUCGGCACCUUCACAGAUUUUAACAGAAUUUUCAAUGGAUUUUAUUUUUUGAAAAUGUCCUAAUUCCUAAUGGUGGAGGGUAUUCAAAGUUCUACCAGGCCGAACUUACUGCUCUGUUACUUGUUAAUAUAAAUGAUGACUCGACUAAAUAGAAUUAAAUAAAAAUGUCAAUACAUAUUCACGUAACGGGCGAUUUAUAGUGUUUCAAAAUACCUGAUCCUAUUUUUCAGCCAGAGGAUUGGGCGGACCAGACCAAAAUGUAAGACAAAUGGCUUCUUCGAAUUUAAAAUGCAAAAAAUUGACUGGAGGUGUACCUAACAAGGAGCAGAUAUUAUCGCCAACAGAAGAAGCAAUAUACAAUUUAAUACCAAUGAAAUCUUCCGUGGAAGCAGUGACGGUGAAACCCAAAGGUCUAGCUGGAAGAAGACACUCUAACAUUAAAUACUUAGAUAUUGACCGUGUACUGGCUUCUAAGUUAAAGGAUUCCAUUCGAUAAAAAGAGAGAGCUACAUCAAAUUCUCCGCCAUAACAAUAUUAUGAGAAGUAUCGCCUUCGAGAAAUCGAAUCCAAAUUGCAAAAAAACAUCCAAUUAGAACUUACUUAUGUAUUAAAAAUUUAUUUAUAUUAUUUUUCCUGUUUCAUUUAAGGCAAUUUUAGUUUAAUGCUAUGAAUUAAUUUUAACUUAUUUCUUCCUUUUUUAAUUUUUCGAGGUUCGACCUAAUGUAUUACAAGGAUAUUGAUACAAAUGUCAUAGAGCUCGACUUUAAAGUCGCUUUUAUCGAGAGUUCAAUACCAAAUUUGGAAAGAUGAAGAUCGUUUCGAUCGACAAUAUUAAAAUAAGCUAAAAUAAAAAAUUAAUAAAAUAAACGUAGCGUCUUCUA